CCUACGGGAGGCUGCAGUGAGGAAUAUUGGUCAAUGGACGGAAGUCUGAACCAGCCAUGCCGCGUGCAGGAAGACGGCUCUAUGAGUUGUAAACUGCUUUUGUACAAGGGUAAACCUGAAUACGUGUAUUCCGCUGAAAGUACUGUACGAAUAAGGAUCGGCUAACUCCGUGCCAGCAGCCGCGGUAAUCCGGAGGAUCCAAGCGUUAUCCGGAUUUAUUGGGGUUAAAGGGUGCGUAGGCGGAUUGAUAAGUUAGAGGUGAAAUGUCCGAGCUUAACUCGGGAACUGCCUCUAAUACGGUGGAGCUAGAGAGUGGGUGAGGGAGGCGGAAUGGAUGGUGUAGCGGUGAAAUGCAUAGAUAUCAAGCAGAACUCCGAUUGCGAAGGCAGCAUACCGGAGCCCGACUGACGCUGAGGCACGAAAGCGUGGGGAUCGAACAGGAUUAGAUACCCGGGUAGUC
rnacentral:rRNA from 1 species